rnacentral:rRNA from 1 species
CCUACGGGUGGCAGCAGUGGGGAAUAUUGGGCAAUGGGCGCAAGCCUGACCCAGCAACGCCGCGUGAAGGAAGAAGGCUUUCGGGUUGUUAACUUCUUUUCUGAGGGACGAAGAAAGUGACGGUACCUCAGGAAUAAGCCACGGCUAACUACGUGCCAGCAGCCGCGGUAAUACGUAGGUGGCAAGCGUUAUUCGGUAUUAGUGGGUGUAAAGGGCGUGGAGGCGGGAAAGCAAGUCAGAUGUGAAAACUCAGGGCUCAACCCUGAGCCUGCAUUUGAAACUGUUUUUCUUGAGUGCUGGAGAGGCAAUCGGAAUUCCGUGUGUAGCGGUGAAAUGCGUAGAUAUACGGAGGAACACCAGUGGCGAAGGCGGAUUGCUGGACAGUAACUGACGCUGAGGCGCGAAAGCGUGGGGAGCAAACAGGAUUAGAUACCCGUGUAGUC